UACGAAGGGGGCUAGCGUUGCUCGGAAUCACUGGGCGUAAAGCGCACGUAGGCGGAUCUUUAAGUCAGGGGUGAAAUCCCGGAGCUCAACUCCGGAACUGCCUUCGAUACUGGAAAGCUCGAGUCCGGGAGAGGUGAGUGGAACUGCGAGUGUAGAGGUGAAAUUCGUAGAUAUUCGCAAGAACACCAGUGGCGAAGGCGGCUCACUGGCCCGGUACUGACGCUGAGGUGCGAAAGCGUGGGGAGCAAACAGG
rnacentral:rRNA from 1 species